UCAGGACGAUAAAAAUUAGCAAAAGCCAAUCCUCGAAAUAUUCCAUUGUCAUAGUGAUAAUUAAAGGCAUAAGGUCUGGGAAUACCUAGUUGCUUAAAAUGAUCCAACAAUGUAUCUUUCUCCAACGAGAAAGGAAUAUUUUUCACAACAAUAGCCGUUGGAAUGGUAUCUUCACCGGGUUCAACCGGUGUUGAAUUAGAAUUGGCAGUCGAUCCUGCUUUGAUUUGGGUACUGUUAAAAGCAUCCAACGAAGGCUCUGCGGAUGUAUCAGCUUUAUUGCCUUUUCCACUGGCAGAAAAGCUUUUACUUUCUGAAGAAGAUUCAGCACCACUAGGAGGAGAGACAUUGUGGAAAGCCAUAGCACUCGCCUCAUUUGCUGAAUUUGAGUUCCUGGACGAGAGGUACGGAGUUCCAAUAGAAUUGGCGCUGUUAAAAAGCGCGGAACCUUUAGAACUAUUUUCUAGCCCACCAAGCUGAGAAUAACCAAAAGUAGGAAAGCUAUCAGAAGGAGCCGGCGAUGCAGCACGACUACUAGCAAGAGAAAGGGCACCGGACCAUUUGGGGUACAGCGGAGCACUCGAACCGGAACCGCUUGUUUUCCUAGAAGCCUGAGGAGAACCAAUUGGCUGUAGCUUAGGAGAAUUCAAGGGUGAUUGUAAUCUUGAUAAUGCUUCAUGAUUUGAUUUUU